UUUUAUUGUCCUCUACAGGGCUUUAUUAAAGAAACAAACAUUUUUAUAUAAAUGAAGUAUGUUUUACUUCAGCCUAUGAAUCCUUUACAAUUCAGUCACUUUUUACCAAGUUUGACAUCAUGUUUAUAAUGCUGUAUUGUUUUUAGGAAUUUAUAUUUUUACAUUAUUUCUUUUUAGCCUAGACUUUUAAAUUUUUCAUGUAGAAUUUUUUGAUAACUUUAACAAGUACCUGUAAAUCAAUACGCUGGUAUCAUUUUACCUAAGUACACAAAAUUAUAUAAUUUAAUGGUUACUACACUUUCCGCUGUUGAUUAUAACUGUUCUUUAAACAAAACAGUUACUUCUAAAACAACAGUUAUCUGUGACAUUUACUUCUAAGAUGACAACUAUAGUAUAUUGAUGUAGGAUAGGCGAUUAAACCAGUAGUUGAAUUAAGUAGGAUUUAAAGAGAUGUAGACUAGAAUCACAGUAGAAUAGUCACAAAGCGUCACAAGCAUCUUAAUAAUUCUGACUACCUAAACAGUAGAAUAGUCACAAAGCAUCACAAGCACCAUAAUAAUUCUGACUACCUAAACAUUAUCUGACAUGUAUGCCUUCAGUGAAGUUCAACAAAUUCAGAACAGGUUACAAAUUUUGGAAGACUACUGUGUAAACAUUUUUUGAGUAUCAGGGUUUCAUAAAAUAUGAAAUUCAGAGAAAAAUUGACCUCCAGUUUAUAAAACUCCUAAUGUUACAGCAGGGACGUGUAAGUUAGUGUUUCCCUACACUACAAACUACUGUGGUAAGAUGAGACAUGUACACAUUGUGAUGGGGCAUUAAGCAGAUAUUCAAUCGAGUCUCAGAUAUGACAUAUAUAUAUAUAUAAUUGAGAUCUGGAAUUGUUUUAGGUGUGUUUGUUGAUUUUGUUGUUAAGUUUGUGAAACCUGUGCACUUUUUUUACCUCAACUUUCACAAAGAUUUAUAAAUGACUUUUUAUGGAUUUUUUUAAAAUGAUUGUAGUAUUUUUAGUGUUUUUGAAAGAUGCAUGAAUUUGUUACACCUUGUAGACAACGAUGUUGAUAUUUAUUAGACUGUUACAGGGACCAAUACUGAGACCACAUGUUGUUGAAGAUAAAUAGUUAACUGUAAAACUG
rnacentral:misc_RNA from 1 species